rnacentral:rRNA from 1 species
GAUGAACGCUGGCGGUGUGCCUAAUACAUGCAAGUCGAGCGGACAGACGAGGAGCUUACUCCUCUGACGUUAGCGGCGGACGGGUGAGUAACACGUGGAUAACCUACCUAUAAGACUGGGAUAACUUCGGGAAACCGGAGCUAAUACCGGAUAACAUGUUGAACCGCAUGGUUCAACAGUGAAAGACGGUCUUGCUGUCACUUAUAGAUGGAUCCGCGUCGCAUUAGCUAGUUGGUAAGGUAACGGCUUACCAAGGCAACGAUGCGUAGCCGACCUGAGAGGGUGAUCGGCCACACUGGAACUGAGACACGGUCCAGACUCCUACGGGAGGCAGCAGUAGGGAAUCUUCCGCAAUGGGCGAAAGCCUGACGGAGCAACGCCGCGUGAGUGAAGAAGGUCUUCGGAUCGUAAAACUCUGUUAUUAGGGAAGAACAAAUGUGUAAGUAACUAUGCACGUCUUGACGGUACCUAAUCAGAAAGCCACGGCUAACUACGUG